GAUGAACGCUGGCGGCGUGCCUAAUACAUGCAAGUCGAGCGAACAGACGAGGAGCUUGCUCCUCUGACGUUAGCGGCGGACGGGUGAGUAACACGUGGAUAACCUACCUAUAAGACUGGGAUAACUUCGGGAAACCGGAGCUAAUACCGGAUAAUAUAUUGAACCGCAUGGUUCAAUAGUGAAAGACGGUUUUGCUGUCACUUAUAGAUGGAUCCGCGCCGCAUUAGCUAGUUGGUAAGGUAACGGCUUACCAAGGCAACGAUGCGUAGCCGACCUGAGAGGGUGAUCGGCCACACUGGAACUGAGACACGGUCCAGACUCCUACGGGAGGCAGCAGUAGGGAAUCUUCCGGAAUGGGCGAAAGCCUGACGGAGCAACGCCGCGUGAGUGAUGAAGGUCUUCGGAUCGUAAAACUCUGUUAUUAGGGAAGAAAAAAUGUGUAAGUAACUAUGCACGUCUUGACGGUACCUAAUCAGAAAGCCACGGCUAACUACGUG
rnacentral:rRNA from 1 species